rnacentral:rRNA from 1 species
GACGAACGCUGGCGGCGUGCUUAACACAUGCAAGUCGAACGGAAAGGCCCUGCUUUUGUGGGGUGCUCGAGUGGCGAACGGGUGAGUAACACGUGAGUAACCUGCCCUUGACUUUGGGAUAACUUCAGGAAACUGGGGCUAAUACCGGAUAGGAGCUCCUGCUGCAUGGUGGGGGUUGGAAAGUUUCGGCGGUUGGGGAUGGACUCGCGGCUUAUCAGCUUGUUGGUGGGGUAGUGGCUUACCAAGGCUUUGACGGGUAGCCGGCCUGAGAUGGUGACCGGCCACAUUGGGACUGAGAGACGGCCCAGACUCCUACGGGAGGCAGCAGUGGGGAAUAUUGCACAAUGGGCGGAAGCCUGAUGCAGCAACGCCGCGUGCGGGAUGACGGCCUUCGGGUUGUAAACCGCUUUCGCCUGUGACGAAGCGUGAGUGACGGUAAUGGGUAAAGAAGCACCGGCUAACUACGUG